rnacentral:rRNA from 1 species
GAGCGGCAGCGCGGGGGCAACCCUGGCGGCGAGCGGCGAACGGGUGAGUAAUGCAUCGGAACGUGUCCUCUUGUGGGGGAUAACCGGUCGAAAGACUGGCUAAUACCGCAUGAGCUCGAGAGAGGGAAGCGGGGGAUCCGCGAGGACCUCGCGCGAGAGGAGCGGCCGAUGUCCGAUUAGCUAGUUGGUAGGGUAACGGCCUACCAAGGCGACGAUCGGUAGCUGGUCUGAGAGGACGGCCAGCCACACUGGGACUGAGACACGGCCCAGACUCCUACGGGAGGCAGCAGUGGGGAAUUUUGGACAAUGGGCGCAAGCCUGAUCCAGCCAUGCCGCGUGUGUGAAGAAGGCCUUCGGGUUAUAAAGCUCUUUCGGCCGGAACGAAAUCGGUGGGGUGAACAAUCCUGCUGGAUGACGGUACCGGAAGAAGAAGCACCGGCUAACUACCGUG